UACGUAGGGUGCAAGCGUUGUUCGGAAUUACUGGGCGUAAAGGGCGCGUAGGCGGCGUGACAAGUCACUUGUGAAAUCUCCGGGCUUAACUCGGAACGGUCAAGUGAUACUGUCGUGCUAGAGUACAGAAGGGGCAACUGGAAUUCUCGGUGUAGCGGUGAAAUGCGUAGAUAUCGAGAGGAACACCUGCGGCGAAGGCGGGUUGCUGGGGCUGAUACUGAUGACGUGAGCGAAGAACUAGGGGGAGCGAACGGG
rnacentral:rRNA from 1 species